UAUUUAAAGAUUAAAAAUCUGUACAAUUCCACCUGAAAAUGAAAGUCUUACUUUACGCGACUACAUGAAAAAUCCCAUCACCAAAUCUUAAAGCUGCAGUGCCUCUGCAAAGACAUUCAUAUGAGGUCGUUUUAAAAAUGACACCGCUUUCUUAUGAUACAGUGUUCAAUCUCAGCAAGAAUCAUAUUCACAUAAAAUAAAAACUAAAUCAAAAACACAGUGGCAAGCCUUGCUAUCGUCCUCAAGUAGAUCCGCGGAGAGAUAUCAGAUCCGGAGGGUCGUGAAUAAUAUGGAAAUAUGAAUGAGCUUUAGUGCCAUUUUACUGACCUCAUAACAAUACUCCGAGAGGAAAGAUGCAUUUUGAACGCCCUGGAUGCUUUUUUAAUCAGAUAAAGUUGUUUUGAAUUUCCAAUUUCUCUCAAAAUUCAAGUCAUUUAAUUUCCUGGAACGACCAAAAGACAACAAAGUGCAAAGUGAAGCUUCAAUUAAAUGUCUUAGGUCUUCAUAUUAGUAUUCCAACUGUGGCGCAAAAAAUCCCAGCGUAAAAUUAUUUUUGGUGUGGAGUUAAUUAGAAAAUGUAUUCAGUCAAAACAACACACAGGCCUGAGGUCAGAGAGUCUUUCAGCUCCUGGAAAUGUUUCUGAGAACAAACAAGCAAUCCAAGAAAAUUAUUUUCUAUUAUCUGCAAGAAUUUGAAACACCUGAGAGAGAAAAUGAAACUGUUUGUGUCCUCUGCCUUCCUUUAAACAAAGCUAGUGUUUGUCAGAGAGAUUAUUCAAUUCAUUCUGCUUUGAGUGCGUGUGCGUGUGUGUGUGUGUGUGUGUUACAGGUGCUGUUUGCAGUAGAGGCCAGUGUAUUGUCCCUGGGUCAGCGAGGAGGGAGCCAAGAGAAGAGCUCAGGGUUGAGGCCUCAGCCUGCACCAACGAGGAAGAGAAAGGACUCAGGAGCAGAGAGAGCACAGAGUUGUUGUGAAAACUCUGCGCCUAAAAAUCCUACCCUCUCUCUGAAAAACAGACCUGGGUGAAUUUCAAGCAGAGUAUGAGCUUGUACUCUGCUGCAGCUAUAUAACCAACCAACGUACGUUCCCCUGUGGCCCACACACACACACACACGCACACAUACACACUCUUACACAUGCACACACCCAUACACAUACACACACAGGUCCCUCUGAAGGAGCAGGCGGAGCCGGCAGUUGCACAUCUGCAUUUCAAACACAGACUCUCUGGGAUUCAUUAUUAAUUAGCCUGCUGAGCCCUGGAGGACUGGUGAUGCUGCCGUCACACACUCACACACACUCACACACUUAUACACAGACACACACAUGCAUUAAAACACAGACACACACACACCUCAUGACCCCUUUACCCCUCUGCUCUACAGUUAGAGUCCUCAACAGAAUACUGAGCCGCACAUGAACGUCCCUCCCACCCCCCAAUCACAUCACUUCCUCUGAUUUCCCAGCUUAAUGUUUGCUAAAGGAUGAUGAAUUACAGGAGGAGGAGGUUUUAUUAAGCUAAGCGCAAUGUAACUGUGUUAAAAUGCCAUAUUCAAUGGAGUUGUUUCGCACAGCACAGUGUUUUAAAUGGCAUAUGUGAGAAGAUUAGAGAAGCCUCAAAAGCUGUUCUGGUUCUUAUAUCACAUCAAUAAACAUUACAAAACUCC